GGGCCGGUAGCUCAGCUAGGUAGAGCGGCGGUCGCUCAACCCGUAGGUCGGGGGUUCAAGUCCCUCCCGGCCCACCA
rnacentral:tRNA from 1 species